UGAAUACGAGAUGCUACGGCGUCGAAGCAGUCUAUGUCAUACUUCCAAGAAAAGCUUGCACUGUCAUAAACAAAUAAUGCCUGUACCAUAACCGACACAGGUGGGUAGGUAGAGUAUACUAAGGGGCGCGAGAUAACUCUCUCUAAGGAACUCGGCAAAAUGACUCCGUAACUUCGGGAGAAGGAGUGCCUUAUUUAUAAGGUUGCAAUAACAAGAUCCAAGCAACUGUUUACCAAAAACACAGGUCUCCGCUAAGUCGUAAGACGAUGUAUGGGGGCUGACGCCUGCCCAGUGCCAGAAGGUUAAAGAAGUUGGUUAGCAUCCGCGAAGCUGAUAACUGAAGCCCUGGUGAACGGCGGCCGUAACUAUAACGGUCCUAAGGUAGCGAAAUUCCUUGUCGGGUAAGUUCCGACCCGCACGAAAGGCGUAAUGAUUUGGAUACUGUCUCGGAGAGGGGCUCGGUGAAAUAGACUUGUCUGUGAAGAUGCGGACUACCUGCACCAGGACAGAAAGACCCUAUGAAGCUUUACUGUAACCUGAAAUUGAAAUUGGACUUUACCUGCGCAGUAUAGGUGGGAGGCGUUGAGAAUAUUCUUGCGGGAUUAUUGGAGCCAUCAGUGAGAUACCACUCUUGUAAUGUUAGAUUUCUAACUUUGUAUCAUUAUCUGGUCAAAGAACAGUUUCAGGCGGGCAGUUUGACUGGGGCGGUCGCCUCCUAAACGGUAACGGAGGCGCACAAAGGUUUCCUCUGAACGGGUAGAAAUCGUAUCUAGAGUGUAAAGGCAUAAGGAAGCUUGACUGUGAGACCUACAAGUCGAGCAGGGACGAAAGUCGGUCUUAGUGAUCUGACGGUGCUGAGUGGAAAGGCCGUCACUCAACGGAUAAAAGUUACUCUAAGGAUAACAGGCUGAUCUCCCCCAAGAGUUCACAUCGACGGGGAGGUUUGGCACCUCGAUGUCGGCUCAUCGCAUCCUGGGGCGGUAGUACGUCCCAAGGGUUGGGCUGUUCGCCCAUGAAAGCGGUACGCGAGCUGGGUUCAGAACGUCGUGAGACAGUUCGGUCCAUAUCCGGUGUAGGCGUUAGAAUAUUGAGAGGAGCCUUCUUUAGUACGAGAGGACCGAGAAGGACAUACCUCUGGUGUACCAGUUAUCGUGCCAACGGUAAACGCUGGGUAGCUAUGUGUGGAGUGGAUAACCGCUGAAAGCAUCUAAGUGGGAAGCCCACCUCAAGAUAAGUAUUCUCAC
rnacentral:rRNA from 1 species